CCUACGGGAGACAGCAGUGAGGAAUAUUGGUCAAUGGCCGCAGGGCUGAACCAGCCAAGUCGCGUGAGGGAUGACGGUCCUAUGGAUUGUAAACCUCUUUUGUCAGGGAGCAAAGGGCGCCACGUGUGGCGCUUUGCGAGUACCUGAAGAAAAAGCAUCGGCUAACUCCGUGCCAGCAGCCGCGGUAAUACGGAGGAUGCGAGCGUUAUCCGGAUUUAUUGGGUUUAAAGGGUGCGCAGGCGGAAUGUCAAGUCAGCGGUAAAAUUUCGGGGCUCAACCCCGUCGUGCCGUUGAAACUGGCGUUCUUGAGUGAGCGAGAAGUAUGCGGAAUGCGUGGUGUAGCGGUGAAAUGCAUAGAUAUCACGCAGAACUCCGAUUGCGAAGGCAGCAUACCGGCGCUCAACUGACGCUCAUGCACGAAAGCGUGGGUAUCGAACAGGAUUAGAUACCCCGGUAGUC
rnacentral:rRNA from 1 species